rnacentral:rRNA from 1 species
AUUGAACGCUGGCGGCAUGCCUUACACAUGCAAGUCGAACGGCAGCACGGGUGCUUGCACCUGGUGGCGAGUGGCGGACGGGUGGGUAAUACGUCGGAACGUACCUUAUCGUGGGGGAUAACGCAGCGAAAGCUGUGCUAAUACCGCAUACGCCCUGAGGGGGAAAGCGGGGGAUCGAAAGACCUCGCGCGAUUAGAGCGGCCGAUGCCUGAUUAGCUUGUUGGUGGGGUAAAAGCCCACCAAGGCGACGAUCAGUAGCUGGUCUGAGAGGACGAUCAGCCACACUGGGACUGAGACACGGCCCAGACUCCUACGGGAGGCAGCAGUGGGGAAUUUUGGACAAUGGGGGCAACCCUGAUCCAGCAAUGCCGCGUGAGUGAAGAAGGCCUUCGGGUUGUAAAGCUCUUUUGUCAGGGAAGAAACACCGGCUCUAACACAGUCCGGGAAUGACGGUACCUGAAGAAUAAGCACCGGCUAACUACGUGCCAGCCGCCGCCGUAA